UACGAAGGGUGCAAGCGUUACUCGGAAUCACUGGGCGUAAAGGGUGCGUAGGCGGGUCUUUAAGUCAGAGGUGAAAUCCCCGGGCUUAACCUGGGAAUGGCAUUGGUGACUGCACGGCUAGAGUGUGUCAGAGGGGGGUAGAAUUCCACGUGUAGCAGUGAAAUGCGUAGAGAUGUGGAGGAAUACCGAUGGCGAAGGCAGCCCCCUGGGAUAACACUGACGCUCAUGCACGAAAGCGUGGGGAGCAAACAGG
rnacentral:rRNA from 1 species